rnacentral:rRNA from 1 species
ACGGGAGGCAGCAGUGGGGGAUAUUGCACAAUGGGCGCAAGCCUGAUGCAGCAACGCCGCGUGAGGGAAGAAGGUUUUCGGAUUGUAAACCUCUGUCCUCGGUGAAGAAGACAGUGACGGUAGCCGAGAAGGAAGCCACGGCUAACUACGUGCCAGCAGCCGCGGUAAUACGUAGGUGGCGAGCGUUGUCCGGAGUUACUGGGUGUAAAGGGAGCGCAGGCGGGACAGCAAGUUGGAUGUGAAAUACCGAGGCUUAACCACGGAGCUGCAUCCAAAACGGCGGUUCUUGAGUGAAGUAGAGGUAGGCGGAAUUCCGAGUGUAGCGGUGAAAUGCGUCGAUAUUCGGAGGAACACCAGUGGCGAAGGCGGCCUACUGGGCUUUAACCGACGCUGAGGCUAGAAAGUGUGGGGAGCAAACAGGAUUAGAUACCCUGGUA